AACGAACGCUGGCGGCAUGCCUAACACAUGCAAGUCGAACGAUCCCUUCGGGGAUAGUGGCGCACGGGUGCGUAACGCGUGGGAACCUGCCCUUAGGUUCGGAAUAACUCAGAGAAAUUUGAGCUAAUACCGGAUAAUGUCUUCGGACCAAAGAUUUAUCGCCUUUGGAUGGGCCCGCGUUGGAUUAGCUAGUUGGUGGGGUAAAGGCCUACCAAGGCGACGAUCCAUAGCUGGUCUGAGAGGAUGAUCAGCCACACUGGGACUGAGACACGGCCCAGACUCCUACGGGAUGCAGCAGUGGGGAAUAUUGGACAAUGGGCGAAAGCCUGAUCCAGCAAUGCCGCGUGAGUGAUGAAGGCCUUAAGGUUGUAAAGCUCUUUUACCCGGGAUGAUAAUGACAGUACCGGGAGAAUAAGCCCCGGCUAACUCCGUG
rnacentral:rRNA from 1 species